rnacentral:rRNA from 1 species
GCGAUCAUACCGGCACUAAUGCCGGAUCCCAUCGAACUCGAAGUUAAGCGUGCUUGGGCGAGGGCGAUACUAGGAUGGGUGACCCCAUGGGAAGUCCUCGUGUUGCUUUU